CAACCCUUAAGCCUAGCUUAGUGUUGGGAAUCUAUGUGUGGCCCAAGCUACCCUGUAGCGUGGUUACCCUGUAGUUCCUGAAAAACAACGGCGGAUUUACAGUAUCCUCUGAGCGUAGUAAUUCUUUAUCUCGCUUCUGUUUAGGUGCUGUAGGUUCUGCCGCUAAACCCCUAAUUUUUUGUGG
rnacentral:misc_RNA from 1 species